rnacentral:rRNA from 1 species
AAUCAUGGCUCAGAUUGAACGCUGGCGGCAGGCCUAACACAUGCAAGUCGAACGGUAACAGGAAACAGCUUGCUGUUUCGCUGACGAGUGGCGGACGGGUGAGUAAUGUCUGGGAAACUGCCUGAUGGAGGGGGAUAACUACUGGAAACGGUAGCUAAUACCGCAUAACGUCGCAAGACCAAAGAGGGGGGACCUUCGGGCCGUCUUGCCAUCGGAUGUGCCCAGAUGGGAUUAGCUAGUAGGUGGGGUAACGG